rnacentral:rRNA from 1 species
UACGUAGGGGGCGAGCGUUGUCCGGAUUUAUUGGGCGUAAAGAGAUCGUAGGCGGUUUGGUAAGUUGGAUGUGAAAUCUCCAGGCUCAACUUGGAGGGGUCAUUCGAUACUGCCAUGACUAGAGUUCGGUAGGGGAGUGUGGAAUUCCUGGUGGAGCGGUGAAAUGCGCAGAUAUCAGGAGGAACACCCGUAGCGAAGGCGGCACUCUGGGCCGGAACUGACGCUGAGGAGCGAAAGCGUGGGGAGCGAACAGG